GGUGUCUUACCAUAUUAUUUUGACAACUUUGUUGAUAGUUUUGUUUAUAUUUCUAACCAGUUAAGAAAUGUGCAUAUCAGGGAAUAAUUAGGCUAAAGUAAUAAUGUUUUUGUCAAAAAACUUUUCAACAAGAAAUUUAUCUUUUGUGUAACUAUUUUGAACUGCAGUUUAGGAAAUUCUGUAUCCUGUAAUUGUGAUUUAGUUAUUGGAAUUGUGAUUUAUUGUUAUUGAUUGAUUGUACUCUUGAACUAGGUCCCACUGUUAAAACAGCGAAACCAGUUUGGAAGUGCUGGAGGUCUGCAGUUCAUAAAGUAACCACAAGGUAGCAGUGUAAACUUGUGCGAGUCCGAUUCUUAUUCACAGCUGUUUCAUGAACGCUCUGGUGACUGUAGCAUCUCUGCAUUUACUCCCCAUGUGCGUGCAACUGAAGCUUAAGAAAGCACCUGUUUUUUAUUAGAGCGGUAAUCCAACUCCAGUCCCUCUUAAGGAAGCAGAGGAGAGAUAGAGGUGAAAGGAAAUAUAUAGCUGCUGGAAGAAAAAAAUACAGUAUUUGCAGCACCAUGGGGAGAGUGAAACAAGUCAUUCAUGAAAGACAAGAGCAAAGUCUUACAAGAAGGUUACAACAGUACAUUAUCAUGGCAAGGUGUAUGGCAAAGCUCAGCUGUCAGUCAUCUCUUCGGCCCAUAACUCUGUGUGUCAGAGGAAUGCAUAAGUGCCCAUGCCGCCAACCUGCACGGAGCUCAGUGUGGAAAUGUAGGCCACACUGCAAAUAUUUGGCUUGGAUUGAGAAAUUGAAUUAUACUGGCACGGAAAGCCAAGAAAUAAAAAAGAGCAACCUUGGGAACCAUUAUGCAAAGUGAAUGGAGGCUUCAAACCAAGUGCUACUGGUUUUCAUUUGGACAGGAAAAAAUCCCUCAGUCGCAAAACCAAUCUGCCUAAAUAAACGCUUCCCCAAAUCUAUCUUUGCCUUGGGAGUAAGCUGUUGGGUCCGGAGUGCCUCGGGUAGUUCAUUUGGGUUCUUUACUCCAGACGUCUUAAGAUUUCAUCUGCAUUUUGCUCAGUUUUUUUGUCAGUGGCCCAUGUAUGGUUACGGUAAGAACUGCAGACUGAACCAGCAUGUAGUUAUGCUUUUGUGAUGGUCUGAUACAGGUGACAAAACAUAAAAGCUGUUAGAAAGGAAAAGCAAUUAAGUUACAGUAGACCAGCUCUCAAAACUAGGAGCAAAUUGGGAGUAAAGCAAGAAAAAAAGGCUUGUGCUGGUCGCUUUAGCAUCUCCUUUGGGUCGUUUGGCUCUUGAAAUGUUUCCUGCAAUGAACAAAACAGAUAACGUUUCUGCAGAGUUGCUCUAACAUAUCACAUACCGGAUCUGCAAGUGCACGUGUGUGUGGUACACUGUUUCUGUGAUAUAUUUUGCAGUGAACUCAAGAGUGCUGCAGUGUUGACAUAUUUUUAUAGGCCAACCCGGAAGUUUGCUUCACCCUGGUUCCCUCAACCAAAACCCAGUGGGAUUUUUUUCAUUAGCUUUUGGAUUAUUACAGAAAAUAUGCUCUGUGACCAUUAAAGUCUUAUGAUUCUUAAGCUUUCUGUUCAUCAUUAUAAUCUUCACAGUGAAGCCUAAAUACAGUAGUCAGACGUAAAAAGCCAUGGUUGCAUGACUUAAAUACAACCAACAACUUCCAACAACUCUUUCAUUCUUUAUUUAAAACACAUUUUCCCUGAAAGUUUGAGUUAAAAUAGCAUGCAAGAGUGUGAUUUUGAACAAGCAACUAGUGUGCAGAUGAGUUUACCUGACCGGCGUGAUGUUGUUUAAUGCCCCCGACAACCACUUUUAGCCACUUUUUAGCAACUGCCUUUUUCAAGAUCAUUACAAGCUUUAAAAAUCCUCAAGAUUAGUGAUGUAUUUUAUGUCAUAGAAUAAAACAUAAAAAUAUCCUGAGGAUACAGGCCUUAUUUCAGACAUUUAACUAUAGAUCAUUGCAUUCUGAAUGAUUGAACCAGAAGUGCUAAAAAUACAUAUCUUUUUGCAGUUCUACAGCUUGAAUAAAGCCUAUCCUUUAGCUUUGUACAGUUAUAUAUAUUUUUUUUAAAACACCAACUUUCAAACUCAUCACCUUCAACUUAUAUG
ensembl:lncRNA